rnacentral:misc_RNA from 1 species
GAUGAAGAACGUAGCGAAAUGUGAUAAGUAAUGUGAAUUGCAGAAUUCAGUGAAUCAUCGAAUCUUUGAACGCACAUUGCGCCCAUUAGUAUUCUAGUGGGCAUGCCUGUUCGAGCGUCAUUAAGUCCACUUAAGCCCUGCUUAGUGUUGGGAGACUGCUCCAGCGGUGCUACCCUGUAGCUACCCUGCAGCUCCUCAAAGACAGCGGCGGAGUUGUGGUAUCCUCUGAGCUUAGUAACUUGUUCUAGCUUUCGAGUACACCACUUCCCCUGCCGUAAAACCCUUAAUUUUUAAUGGUUGACCUCGGAUCAGGUAGGAAUACCCGCUGAACUUAAGCAUAUCAAUAAGCGGAGGA